UACGAAGGGGGCUAGCGUUGCUCGGAAUGACUGGGCGUAAAGGGCGCGUAGGCGGAUGGCACAGUCAGGCGUGAAAUUCCCGGGCUCAACCUGGGGGCUGCGCUUGAGACGUGCGAUCUUGAGUGGGGAAGAGGGUCGUGGAAUUCCCAGUGUAGAGGUGAAAUUCGUAGAUAUUGGGAAGAACACCGGUGGCGAAGGCGGCGACCUGGUCCUUGACUGACGCUGAGGCGCGAAAGCGUGGGGAGCAAACAGG
rnacentral:rRNA from 1 species